rnacentral:rRNA from 1 species
AGCGAACGUUUGCGGCGGGCCUAACACAUGCAAGUCGAACGAGAUCUCGGGCUUCGGUCCGGGUGAAAGUGGCGCACGGGUGCGUAACACGUGGGUAAUCAACCCUCUGGAUCGGGACAACCCGGGGAAACUCGGGCUAAUACCGGAUACGUCGUCGGAGCUCUAGGGCUCUGACGGGAAAGGCCUGCAAGGGCUACCAGAGGACGAGCUCGCGGCCCAUCAGCUAGUUGGUGAGGUAAUGGCUCACCAAGGCGAAGACGGGUAGCUGGUCUGAGAGGAUGAUCAGCCACACUGGAACUGAGACACGGUCCAGACUCCUACGGGAGGCAGCAGUGGGGAAUAUUGCGCAAUGGGCGAAAGCCUGACGCAGCCACGCCGCGUGUGCGAUGAAGGUCUUCGGAUCGUAAAGCACUGUGGGGGGAGAAGAACAAAGCUGGUGAAGAGCCAGCCCUGACGGUAUCCCCUUAGCAAGCACCGGCUAACUCCGUGCCAGCAG